GUUCGCUUAAAACUGUUUACAUGCUGGUGAAUGGGCAUAACAACUUCCAUAUGUAAACUUGUAUAUGUACACAUUCCUCGUUGGCUAAGAUGUUGUCAUGUGCAUAAUUGUUGUAUGUAUGUACAUUACCAGUGUAUUGGAUAAACUGAACUGUCAAUCGAUUUACAUGUAUUACUAAGCCUUCGAAGCGUCGUUUAUAAGUCACAGUAGUUAAUGGGAUAAUAAACAAUCCGCAUAACUCUUCACUGUACAUUUAACUUUAUGAAUGGCAGUAGUGAUUACAAUAAUCGUCUGUUAUAGAAAUUAUAUGAAGAACGCAGUUUUGUUAUUAACUAGUAUAUUGUUAUGCGUUUGAUACACACGAAAUGACGGAUGGAAACGACGCAUUUAAUUACCAUGACGACAAAGGAUAAAAGGAAACUUCACAAAGACAACCUUUCGAGUGUGAUAUGUAACAUGGAAGCGAUUGUCAUGAACAUAAAUUCAGUAAUAGCAGAGGUUGUAGAUUUAGUGGACGAAAUCGACACAAUCGUGCAGAAAGUGGAAUCAAUUUACAAAGCAAAAUCGACUUCCACCGAAAUCUGCCUGGAUAAUAACCGGAACUUAUGUGACGUCUUCAAGCAUCCGGUUAUCACUAGCCAAUCCAAUUUCUCACCAUAUUCUCCGUUCUUGGACUACACAUUCUUGGAGUUAACUAACGAUUGUAAUGUUUGUGUGGGGAAUAUGUAUCAAUACAACGAGAAAUAUCCUCUUUGGAUACAGAAUGACACAUGGAAAACGAGUGAUCUGUCCGUGUCUGAAAUUUCCGAGGUGUCGCCGGGUAGCUCCGCUCGAUCCAACAGCUCGCGUUAUGUCGACACAUUGUCGUCUAAUAGACGUAAACAGGGACACGCCGGAGCUGUAUCACAUUAUCCGGGCACUGCAGAAAAAGAGAAUAUUAACCAAAUAAGAAACUGUUGUGUAUUAAGAGAAGACAACUCGGAGUUGACCAGUUAUAAUAGUUAUUGUGGGGUGUACGAGCACAUAAUGGAACGGCAACUGGAAGAUCUCAUCUGGAACGAGAUCGGAUAUGACGUAGAUAAUUACGAAAUGUCCGCUUCACAAGACUUUUCAGAACAUGGUGACUUUAGUACGGAAUAUGUGGAAUCUAAGUGUGAACCGUUACGUACAUGAUUUACUUGUUGACGACAAUCGAAUAAUUAUGCUUAGUCUACUCUGUGUUCGUAAUAUUUUUAUCGUUAACUAAUUAGGAUAGCCUAUGUAAUUCUUUAAUUAUAAUUCGUGCGAAAACUAGAUGUUAAAAAUGAUAAUUAUUAAAAUGCGAGGCUAAAUCUUUAAUUUCAAGAGUAAUGGAUGGCAAAAAUAAUAAAAAGGGAUAUAAUGUAGAAUAGCAUUAUCUAUCUAUGUUAUGAUACAAAGUUAAGCCUAUAAACCACAUGUAUAUCGUUAUGUUAAUCACGUUUUCUAGAUAACUUUUUUCAAGCAUGACUGUCGGUUAACUUUUUUGAACCAUUAAACAACACAAACAUAACCACGUACUUAACACAAUUUUAUUUUCUAGUAGGCUAGUAGCUGUAGUAUAGCUAAUGUUUCGCUUGGCGAAAAUCACAUGUUCAAUUCAUCAGUCGUGCAUAUUUCGCACGAUGUACGUAUUCAUGGUAUUGUUCAUUCAAACAUGCAUACGUUUGCGCUUGGUCUGAAUGUUCUUAUAUUGCACAUUCUUCUAUCCCUUUAUCCAGAAAACCGACCUUUAUUAUGAUAAAUUGUUCUCCGUUUGUGACUUUUCUGUAAGUGAAAAUUAGCCUAAUAAAUAAUUUUUGAUAUUUUUAUUAAAUAUUGAACGAACAAAUCUCACAAUUAAACUUAAUAUGUCUUUAAUUUCUUAAGCACGACCUACACUGAAGACCUAUAUAGAUAAACACGAAACCAGCUGGCAACGAUUUGUCGAUUUUUCUUGAGUCUGUUUUAGAUAAUUAACUUGAGCUCAAAUUGCUUUUAUGUUCGCAAAAACUUAAUUUUAAAAUUACUACAAGCUUGAAAGGAAAAUAAAUGUUAAAUGAACAAUAGUUACCACAGUGUGUACAUCACCAUCUUUUAAAAAAAAUAAUCAUUCAAACCAAUGAAAUCAAUGAGUUAAUGCAGUUAUUCUUAAAGGGACCUUUUCACAGAAUUUGGCAUACAUUAAAGUCGGUCAUUAAAUGCUUUAUAUUGAUAAAUAUUACCAUACCAAAAAAGCUACAGUAAAAAAGGAUAAAUUUAAAGAAAGAAAAAAGCAACCCUCAAUUGGGCUCGAACCACUGACCCCUGGAGUAAAAGUCUAACGCUUAGACCACUCGGCCGGCCGUGCUCAUUCAAUUAGUGAUUUAUUUUAUACUUGACAUAAGCAAUCAUCGUAGUGCUCACAAAAUAUAGCGGCAAUAACAAAUCUCUCCAAAUUAUUCUAUCGUUUUGCGUUGCAACGCUUUAUUAUUUUCAGCUUUAAAUCGUCAAAAGAUGCUUAUAAUGGAUAUUUCAGAGCAUGGUAAGUGUUAAGUAUUACUGUUUCCUCACAAACAUCAUUACUACAAUAAAAAUUUGCGAAUCUGAAAUACUUUUUAAAAAAUUUGUCAAUUUAUCAAGAAGUGAAAAGGUCCCUUUAAGAAGUCUUAAGAAACCGGGAGAGGGUUUUACAUUCUGGCUACAAUACGGUUGAGACAGCGUUUAAAAGAUCACUAGGCACCAUAGACCGGAACUCGCCAGGCAAUGUUUUAACAAGUGACGCACUUUGGAAAUGUCAUAUUACAAAGCUUUUAGCACUCAAUCAGCCCUACAGUCAUAUAUGGCCUUCAUGAGAAGACUGUUGGCUUUAAGCUAUGGCCAUAGUGUAUUUUCGACAUUUGCGAUAAAACAUAACUGUAUACAAAAAGGGGUGCCCUGUUAGUUUCGCAUAAUCGAGUUGCUUCCAUACCGAGACGACCGAGAAGUAUCGAACAUGUUUCGUUUGCUACACGUAACGCAAUUAUUAAGUAUAUUAGUUCAAACAGUAAUGCAUGAAAAAUUUCGUUCUCGACUAAUGAAGAAGAUAAAUAUAGUACUGUUUGAAUUAGACUUUUUUCUGUUGAAAUAGUUGUGGUCGUUGCACGUUUAAUCACGUGUGCUUGUUGUUCCCAAAAUUUGAAUAUAAACACGUGUAUAAACACGUGUUUAUCCAAAGCUUAUUCCGAUCUUGUGAUAAAUUUAUCAUAUGUGUUUUUCUAAGUUAUAUUUCCCCAUCGAUUUGAAUGAGGCCAUGUGCACGAUUGUUGCAGAAAUUUAAAUUAUUAAAUGAAUGAAAUAAAAAACAACUGACAUCAUC